rnacentral:rRNA from 1 species
GAGUUUGAUCAUGGCUCAGAUUGAACGCUGGCGGCAUGCCUUACACAUGCAAGUCGAACGGCAGCGGGGGAAAGCUUGCUUUCCUGCCGGCGAGUGGCGAACGGGUGAGUAAUACAUCGGAACGUGCCCUGUAGUGGGGGAUAACUAGUCGAAAGAUUAGCUAAUACCGCAUACGACCUGAGGGUGAAAGUGGGGGACCGCAAGGCCUCAUGCUAUAGGAGCGGCCGAUGUCUGAUUAGCUAGUUGGUGGGGUAAAGGCCUACCAAGGCGACGAUCAGUAGCUGGUCUGAGAGGACGAUCAGCCACACUGGGACUGAGACACGGCCCAGACUCCUACGGGAGGCAGCAGUGGGGAAUUUUUGGACAAUGGGCGAAAGCCUGAUCCAGCAAUGCCGCGUGUGUGAAGAAGGCCUUC